ACCUACGGGACGCAGCAGUGGGGAAUAUUGCACAAUGGGGGGAACCCUGAUGCAGCGACGCCGCGUGGGUGAGGAAGUACUUCGGUAUGUAAAGCCCUAUCAGCAGGGAAGAAAAUGACGGUACCUGACUAAGAAGCCCCGGCUAACUACGUGCCAGCAGCCGCGGUAAUACGUAGGGGGCAAGCGUUAUCCGGAUUUACUGGGUGUAAAGGGAGCGUAGACGGCUGUGCAAGUCUGAAGUGAAAGCCCGUGGCUCAACCGCGGAACUGCUUUGGAAACUGUAUAGCUUGAGUACUGGCGAGGCA
rnacentral:rRNA from 1 species